rnacentral:rRNA from 1 species
UCCUGGCUCAGGAUGAACGCUGGCGGUGUGCCUUAGGCAUGCAAGUCGAGCGGCCCGCCUUUGGCGGGCAGCGGCAGACGGGUGAGUAACACGUAGGAAUCUACCUAAGUGUGGGGAAUGGCCCAUCGAAAGGUGGGGUAAUACCGCAUACGCCCUUACGGGUAAAGACUUCGGUCGCAUUUAGAGGAGCCUGCGCGCUAUCAGGUUGUUGGUGAGGUAACGGCUCACCAAGCCUACGACGGCUAGCCGAUGUGAGAGCAUGAUCGGCCACAAGGUUACUGAGACACGGAGCCUACAUCUACGGAUGGCAGCAACCGGGAAUUUUGCGCAAUGGACGAAAGUCUGACGCAGCGACACCGCGUGUGGGAUGACGCUCUUCGGAGUGUAAACCACUGUGGCAGGGGAACAAGAUCUGAGGGUACCCUGCUAGAAAGCACCGGCAAACCACGUGCCAGAAGCUUCGGUAAUACGUGGGGUGCAAGCGUUAUCCGGAUUUACUGGGCGUAAAGCGUACCGUCGGUGUUUUGAUAAGUUUUCUGUCCAAGCCUGGGGCUCAACUCCAGACAGGCAGGAAAAACUAUCAGAAUAGAGUCUGUUAGGGGAAGCUGGAAUUCUCGGUGGAGGGGUGAAAUCCGUAGAUAUCGAGAGGAACGCCAAUCGCGAAGGCAAGCUUCUGGAACAUGACUGACACUCAGGGACGAAAGCUAGGGUAGCAAAGCGGAUUAGAGACCCGUGUAGUCCUAGCCGUAAACAUUGUCCGCUAGUUGUUUCUUUAUCUUUGAUAGGGGAGUGACGUAAGCUAACGCGUUAAGCGGACCGCCUGGGGAGUACGACCGCAAGGUUAAAACUCAAAGGAAUUGACGGGGGAGCGCACAACCGGUGGAGCAUGUGGUUUAAUUCGAUACAAAGCGAAAAACCUUACCUGGGUUUGACAUCCGCCUAUGUCCUCUAGAAAUAGAGUGACUUAGUGGCGUGACAGGUGAUGCAUGGCUGUCGUCAGCUCGUGUCGUGAGACGUCCUCUUAAGUGAGGUAACGAGCGCAACCCUUAUCCUGUGUUAUACGUGUCACGGGAAACUGCCC